GCCGGGCAUGGUGGCUCAUGCCUGUAAUCCCAGCACACUAGGAGGCUGAGGCGGGUGGAUCACUUGAGGUCAGGAGUUCAAGAUCAGCCUGGCCAACAUGGUGAAACCCCGUCUCUA
ensembl:misc_RNA Metazoa_SRP Metazoan signal recognition particle RNA